rnacentral:rRNA from 1 species
CUAAGAAUAUUCCGCAAUGGACGAAAGUCUGACGGAGCGACGCCGCGUGAGGGAAGACGGUUUUCGGAUUGUAAACCUCUGUCUUUGGUGACGAAACAAAUGACGGUAGCCAAGGAGGAAGCCACGGCUACCUACGUGCCAGCAGCCGCGGUAAUACGUAGGUGGCGAGCGUUGUCCGGAAUUACUGGGUGUAAAGGGAGCGCAGGCGGGGAGACAAGUCAGCUGUGAAACCUAGCGGCUUAACUGAUAGAGUGCAGUUGAAACUGUUUUUCUUGAGUGGAGCAGAGGCAGGCGGAAGUCCGAGUGUAGCGGUGAAAUGCGUAGAGAUGCGGAGGAACACCAGUGGCGAAGGCGGCCUGCUGGGCUUUAACUGACGCUGAGGCUCGAAAGUGUGGGGAGCAAACA